GAUGAACGCUGGCGGCGUGCCUAAUACAUGCAAGUCGAGCGAACAGACGAGGAGCUUGCUCCUCUGACGUUAGCGGCGGACGGGUGAGUAACACGUGGAUAACCUACCUAUAAGACUGGGAUAACUUCGGGAAACCGGAGCUAAUACCGGAUAAUAUAUUGAUCCGCAUGGUUCAAUAGUGAAAGACGGUUUUGCUGUCACUUAUAGAUGGAUCCGCGCCGCAUUAGCUAGUUGGUAAGGUAAUGGCUUACCAAGGCAACGAUGCGUAGCCGACCUGAGAGGGUGAUCGGCCACACUGGAACUGAGACACGGUCCAGACUCUUACGGGAGGCAGCAGUAGGGAAUCUUCCGCAAUGGGCGAAAGCCUGACGGAGCAACGCCGCGUGAGUGAUGAAGGUCUUCGGAUCGUAAAACUCUGUUAUUAGGGAAGAACAAAUGUGUAAGUAACUAUGCACGUCUUGACGGUACCUAAUCAGAAAGCCACGGCUAACUACGUG
rnacentral:rRNA from 1 species